rfam:Ornithorhynchus anatinus chromosome 4, whole genome shotgun sequence.
AGCAAUGUGGCUUAGUGGCAAAAGCCUGGGCUUGGGAAUCAGAGAUUGUGGGUUCUAAUCCCAGCUCCGCCA